rnacentral:rRNA from 1 species
AACGAACGCUGGCGGCAGGCUUAACACAUGCAAGUCGAACGCCCCUUUCGGGGGGAGUGGCAGACGGGUGAGUAACGCGUGGGAACGUGCCCUUCAGUUUGGAAUAACCCAGGGAAACUUGGGCUAAUACCGGAUACGCCCUUCGGGGGAAAGAUUUAUCGCUGAAGGAUCGGCCCGCGUCUGAUUAGCUGGUUGGUGAGGUAAUGGCUCACCAAGGCGACGAUCAGUAGCUGGUCUGAGAGGAUGAUCAGCCACAUUGGGACUGAGACACGGCCCAAACUCCUACGGGAGGCAGCAGUGGGGUAUAUUGGACAAUGGGCGCAAGCCUGAUCCAGCCAUGCCGCGUGAGUGAUGACGGCCUUAGGGUUGUAAAGCUCUUUCGCACGCGACGAUAAUGACGGUAGCGUGAGAAGAAGCCCCGGCUAACUUCGUGCCAGCCGCCGCGGUAAUAC